AGAGAGAGACAUGCGCGCAUAUCAAUAAGCGGAGGAAAAGAAACUAACAAGGAUUCCCUUAGUAACGGCGAGUGAAGCGGGAAGAGCUCAAAUUUGAAAUCUUCAAGGUUUUACCUUGACGAAUUGUAGUUUAAAGAAGUGUUUUCUGCUGAAGUUUUGGUAAAAGUUCUUUGGAAAUAGGACAUCAUAGAGGGUGGAGAAUCCCGUAUUUGACCAUUAUUUUCAGCUUUGUGAUACACUUUCAAAGAGUCGGAUUGUUUGGGAAUGCAGUCCAAAAUGGGUGGUAAAUUUCAUCUAAAGCUAAAUAUUGGCGAUGAGACCGAUAGCGGACAAGUACCGUGAGGGAAAGAUGAGAAGAACUUUGAAAAGAGAGUUAAACAGUACGUGAAAUUGUCAAAAGGGAAGCGUUUGACACCAGUGUUGUUUUCUCGAAAAUCAAUUAAAAAUGGCUCGAUUUUGUAUUGCUUGAGACCUUAAAAGCUCACUGUACAUUUUUCGUGUCUUUUUUAAUGCACUUUUCGUUUAACAAGUCAACAUCAGUUUCUUUUGUUGUAAAAGGGUCAUUGGAAGGUGGCUUUCUUUUCGGAGAAAGUGUUUAUAGCCUCUGGCCUCUGCAAUCGAAGAGACUGAGGUCUGCAGCGUAGACUCUUCGGGGUUAGAUACAUUUGUGCUAAGUUAUAGCUUUUUAUAGACAACUUGUUGACUAUAAUUAGUCUUGUAGCUUACUCGCUUAUGCUAUUUUACCUACGCUUAGGAUGUUGAAGAUGUAGCACAUCAU
rnacentral:rRNA from 1 species